CCUACGGGCGGCUGCAGUGAGGAAUAUUGGUCAAUGGGCGCGAGCCUGAACCAGCCAAGUAGCGUGAAGGAUGACUGCCCUACGGGUUGUAAACUUCUUUUAUAAAGGAAUAAAGUGAGGCACGCGUGCCUUUUUGUAUGUACUAUAUGAAUAAGGAUCGGCUAACUCGGUGCCAGCAGCCGCGGUAAUACGGAGGAUCCGAGCGUUAUCCGGAUUUAUUGGGGUUAAAGGGAGCGUAGAUGGGUUGUUAAGUCAGUUGUGAAAGUUUGCGGCUCAACCGUAAAAUUGCAAUUGAUACUGGCAGUCUUGAGUACAGUUGAGGUAGGCGGAAUUCGUGGUGUAGCGGUGAAAUGCUUAGAUAUCACGAAGAACUCCGAUUGCGAAGGCAGCUUACUAAACUGCCACUGACAUUGAUGCUCGAAAGUGUGGGUAGCAAACAGGAUUAGAUACCCCUGUAGUC
rnacentral:rRNA from 1 species